rnacentral:lncRNA from 1 species
UUCUCGAGGUGGGUGCCUGCAAUCAAAACAAAUAAAAUGAAGAAACAAUUUUCUGCCCCAGUUUGCACUUCUCAACUAGGGGAAUGCUUUGCAAGUAAAAACCUUCUCGAACAGCCUUAGUGCUGACAAAAUUUGGGCACGACACUUCAAAAAUUCAAGCUUCCAAGCUUUGAUUUGGACAUAGUCUUCGUCCCUGUUUCAAACAAAGAAAACUUAUGAGUUUAAACAUGGUAGUUGUUUAUGGCCUUGACUUUGAUAGCGAUCGCUCCUUCACUUUACAUGAUAACUUUGACUUCAAAUUGAAUGACCUUGCUUGUUUAUUGACUAACCACUUUCUCUGUCACCCUUAUCGAUGAAAACACCUCGUAUUUGUUCAAACCUCAAAUCCCUCUAUCUGUUGCAUUGUGCUCAUGAAUUGACAUAUACUGAACCUUUGUAUUUCUCAUGAAUCCCAAAACACGUCAAUUAACAAUGCGCAUACUACUCUUUCCUGACUUAAGACACUUUGAUGUACUAGCCAGACUCUGCUUUGUUCAAUUGAAAAGCUGGUAGAAAAUUUUGAAGUCUUUUCUUACUUGUUCUGACAAGCAAACUCAAGAGGACUUUAAACAAAGCAAGAAGAAUAUAGUUAAGGGGACAACGGAAAGAGAUGACAUCUAAUAAGAAAAUUACCAAGUAGAAACCUAUCGGAUAUUGAUACUAACUCUAGUGAUCGUGACAUGUAUUUUGGAUUAAGUGUCCUAAUCUGCCAAGCAAGUCUAAUAUUCAACUCUUGUUGUACUUCUUCACCUUGAAACUAGGCUUUAAUGCUCCGAUUAUCCUAUCUGAUUCGUGAUCCUUAUUUGACUUAUAGUGCCUGCAGGAUUUCCACCAUCAAGCCUCUCUCAUUUUGCUCUUUCUCUCAACUUACCAUCACCUUAUGGUGCCUGUGAAGGUUUUCACCGAUAAGACUCUCUCCUUUUUUUUCUUCUUAUUUCCUCUGAUUCUGCAUAUGAAAAUGCAUUAACCAUGGAAAAAUAUCGUAUUUUCUUUGUAUAUCUAAACUCAGCACUCUCAAAGAUUAUAUGGGAGGUCUUUUUUGGACUGUAGUGUGGCUUUUGGACAAGGUUAGAAAGAAAAGAUAUCAUAAUAGCUCAAAAUAACUAAGAUAAUAGGGUUAAUUUAUUUAUAACUUUUGGAAUCCAUUUCAGAACUUUGUACAAAUUUCUAAAACAAGAGAAUUUGAUUCUAAGAAAAACUGUUUCACUCUAUGAAAUAUUUUAUUUGGUGCGACUGAACCGUAGGGCUGCCUGUGUAUCUUAUAGUGACAAGAAUCAGGUCAAACGUAGCUCACAAAGAUACUUUUUGUUGUCGCUAUUUUUUCUUUUUUUUCUUUUUUUUAUUUUUGUUUAUCCUUCUUCUUUUCUUUUCUUUUCUUUUCUUUUCUUUUGAAUUAUUCUUUUGGAAUGAAUUUUCUAAGACAAAUCUAUGGGUACAUGAGAUUUGUUUUUUAAAAUUAUGACUCUAACUUGAUUCCAAAAGAUGGGAGGUCAGAGAAAUCAGCACAGGUUCAAAGGGGUACCAAACGGUAUAAAAUGUUUAGAUAGCUGCAUGAGGGCCUCCGAAUCUCUAAGAAUACCAAGUAUAACACAUGCAACUUGAUGAUGAAAAAUGAAGAUCAUGCAUAGAAUUUCUUUUGCAGUAUUGGCAUUGGUAUCACAGAUAUGCCUUCCACCUCUCUUUAUUGCCUUUUCAAGUACAUACCUCUUUGCAUGUGAUCUCUUCUUCAAAAUGGACGUGCUCCGUCAAUUUGGAGCAAACUCCCUUAGAUUUGUGUUGUAACUUGACAUGCACUUGAACUUAAAGUUUCUUGCUUCAAUUGUCUAACGCACUUUCUUGUAACAAAUUCUUGUCAUCCUCUUAACUUCCCCAAACCAGCCUCAGUUUCACACAAUUCAGGCUUUCUAUGACCUCAAAAUAUCUAAAUCUUUACUUAUUUCCCUCAAAUGUCCCUGUCUUCUUCAAAAUUUGUUUCAUUGUUUCAUGAUUAGACUAACUUUUAAGACCAGGCUGAGAAUACACGUGCAUGUCAUGUCACUAAAGUGAAUAGGAUAAGAACUAUAAAAGAAAAAAAUAACUAAACAAAAAAAUGACUAGAAGUAACAAGAAGUAAAAUAUUGCAUUAGACAGAUGGUGAAAGGGUUUAAAAAAUAAAACAAGCAAACUAAACUGAGGUUACAACCCUGGAACAAACCUACAUAACACUAAACAAGUUACUACGACUAAACGAACUAGGCAAAAUAAAAGGAUAGAAGGGUUUGAGCCACAAGGCAAUAUCCGGAUCACAACCCUAAAAUAAACCGGACAACAAAAAUGACAAUAAAAUAAACCACCAAGAUUCCUCCCUGGCUAGCGAAGAAUGGAGCAUCUUUUCAAUCACCAAGCUCAACAUCAUAGCCACUAAGUUCUACAUCAACAGUACUACGACCUUUACGAGUCUUCAUCACAUUGGCCUAAUAAAUUGUUUUGGGUCCCAUUUGUUGGCUCGUUCUUAAGAUCAACUUUUGGAACUGAGAGUGAUAGUGCUGAAAGCUUUGCGCCAAGUUUCCCUCCGAGGAUCUCAGAAUAGUUCUCAUAUUCCUUCUCAACACAAAUCAUACCCACCAUAUGCGUCUCAUCAUGAACAGGCGAUGGACUUUGGCUAGUGUCUACUACAUCUUGAUUUUGCACGACAAUGUCACCAGUCACAAUAAGCUUCUGAACUUCUCUUUUCAGAUGCCAACACUUUUCUAUGCUGUGACCCGAGGCAUUAAAGCAAUGUGCACACCUUUGAGCAUAAUCAAAAUUCUUUGGAAGGGGGUUCGAUAUUUUUAUCUGAAUCGGCUUCACUAUGUCCAAUUGCCUCAACCUUUGGAACAAAUUGGCAUAUGAUUCUCCAAUGGGAGUGAAAUUCUUUUCCUUUUGCUAUUGCCUUUUCAUUUUAUACUCUUGCCUCGGCUGGAACCUUUUGCGGGUAGGUGGUUAAUAUUCUUGAAGAGGCGAGUAAGAUAUUUGUGUAAAUGGUGCAGGCCAUCGUGGGUCCUAUGGAUGUAGAGCAUAUAGUGGUACAUUGUGGAUGGAGUACUGGGAAGGUAAGGUAUGACUUUGGGGAUUUUGUGAAGAGAAGUAGCAUUGGUAAGGAUUAUCUGGAGCACAUGGAUAUCCAUGAGGUCAAUAUUGAGGCUGAAAGCACUGAGUAGGAACACUCAGUGGAUCUUGUCAUUGGCAGGGCUCAACAACAUCUUUUGUAUUUCUCUUUCUUCUACCUGAACUUAAUGAGAUGUUCUGAGUCUUUUGCAGAAUCUUUCGAUGCAGAAUAACUCAUGAUUUUGCAUGACUUGAAUCCUUCCUCUCCCACCUCCCCUAUUUUUACCACAUCAUUGAAAGGUUUACCCAAGGAUGAGAUCAAAUGACUGAAGUAGGUGGCCCCCCGACUUGCAGGAAAAUCUCAACCAUUUCUUCUUCACCAGUGGGGGGGCUGACACGAGUAGUUUGUUCCCUCUAUCUGAGCCCAAACUCCCUAAAACUUUUCAUGGGUUUCUUCUCGAUCUUAGAUAGGGAGGAGCGGUCUGGGAUAAUUCCAAGAUUAUACUGAAAGUAUCGAACAAAAUCUUGAGCCUCGUCAUCCCACGUGUGCCACUUAUUGACAUCUUGAUGAGUAUACCAUUCUAAGGCUGCCCUAGUCAAGCUCUCACUGAAAUACGCCAUCAACAAAUCAUCCUUUCGUCUAACAUUUCUCAUUUCACUGCAAUAACUCGUCAGAUGACCUACUAGAUCUCCACGCCUAUCAUUCAUGUUAAACUUUGGCAUUUUAAACCCCCAAGGAAGAUGACCAUCAUGGAACAUACAUAAGUCAUUGUAAGCCAUGUCAAUCUGAUUUCUCAUCCCUUGCAUGUCCUUUAAGGACUGUUCUAUACCUUUCAACUUCCUGGAUAUCUCAUCUUGCCCUUUUUUUCUUGUGAACUUUUCAUUUUCAGCAUGAGCCUCAUUUUGAAAGAUAUAAUUGUAUGAGUUAGGAACCUUAUGGGCAACCUCUGAGGGGUAGUAUUGGUCAUCAAGGAGGUUGAAUUGGUGUUCACUGUUGGACCGGAGGAGAGGUUGUUGAGAAGUUGUGAUCCUGGAGGCAGUGGAUAUAACAGGUGCGCAAUUUUUGGAAAGGUAGUUGGAGGACGAGUGAUGGAGAUACUAGGGUGGUUGGGAAAGCUUGAUAAGCGGGAGAAUCAGGAGAUUAUGAGAAAUCAUCUAGCAUAAUGACCGGAGUUUGGGUAAGGGUAGGAUCUAAGAAGGUAGGUAGUGGCGGGGUGGUGCCUUCCCAGUCAUCCAAGCCCGAUAUAUGUCCGCCAUGUGUUGUCUUAACAUUCUUACCUCUUCAACCAACCCAUUGUCAUGUUCAACCAAUUGCUUUCAGGCACCAGUAUUAACCAACUCAAUUAUAUUAUUUUCUGCCAUUGCCUUUCGAUUUUAUGUUAUAGAGAAGAGUUACAACUUUAAGAACCACAAACCAACCACCAUUGUGCUAUAAUGAAGAUAACAAAGAUGAACAAAAUAAAGUCACCAUAUUAGCUUAGGGUAUUUGACAUAAGAUGAUCUCACUUUUUGUGCAAUGCACCUAGUCAUAGUUAUCGGUUCUAAAAUGACUUCGAGGGUAAGAAUGUCAGAUUACAUCAUCUCAAUUUCACUCUUCUUGCCCCGUUUCCUUCUUCAUUUUCCUUUCUAGCACUGUCCGUUUUUUUUAUUUCCUUUCUCCUAUUUUCUUUUGUUUAUCGCUCUUUUAUUUCCUCUCAUUUCUCACGUCCCAAAAAUUCAUUCACUUUUUUUUCUUUUUUGUUUUUUUUGCUUUUUUUUUUGUUUUUUAUAAUUUAGUAAUGAUUCGAUCAAACCCUAUGUAGGUUGCCUACUUAUCAUGUCCCUCAUGAAGUAGACAAAACAUAGUUCUGAAAAAUCGAGAAUAUACUAAAUAAACAAACGUUCUUUUUUUUACCUUAAUGAUUACUCUGACGAGAAAAGGGAAAUAAUAGAAGAAAAUAUUUUUUUUUAUUUUUGUAAAUUAAUGUUCUAUAACCUAUUCUAAACUCAGCUUAACGGGCAUAUUCUUUCUUUUUGAAACAAAUACUCUAUAGAAAAUUAUUAAGAAAAAAAUUCUAUAAGAGAGUAAUAUUUUUUAAUUUUUUUAGGAAAAAAAAUCUAAAGAAUAAAUGAAAGAAAAAUAUUUUGAAUUUUCAUUUGAUAUCCCUGAAGAAAGAUUUCGCAACGAGAAAUGAACAAGAUAAAUAAAAUAUUUUUGGUUUUCAAUUUUUGAUUACCUAAGGGAAAAACUCUAAAGAUAAACAAAAGAUAAAGUAUUUUUUCUCUUCGUAUGCUGUCCUAAACGUCAGAAGAAAAUCUUUUCAGAUUUUGGAUUUAAUAUCUUAAAGAAAACUUUUAAAGAGGUACUAAAAGAAAAUUCUUUUUUUAAAAUUUUUAGUCUUAAUAUACUAAACGAAAUAUAAAAUUAAUUUUUUUAUUUUGAGUUCUAGAUAUUAAUUUGCUAAAUGAAAAGCACUACAACUGAUUUUUUUAAAUUUCUAGAAUUAAUAUACCAAAGGAAACUUCUAAUGAAAAUAUAAAAACGAAAAAUCUUUUUUUUUAUUUGUAUCACAUCUUUUUUAAAUACAAAAUAAGAAGUACAAUAACAAAUGACUCAACAAACUUAACUAGACUAAUGACAGACCCUAACAUCACCUAAAAGGCUCGUCAUUACUUUAAGAAGACGACAUAAAAAGAAAAACAAACUCAAAAUAUAAAAAUAUAUCCCUAAGCCACUUCUGAAUGAAUGGUCCUGACUAGAUGGUCCUGGGGCAUCUGUCAUGAUCAAACGUCGGUAAGUAAAUUCGCACCUGUUUGAGAAAUUAAGACCAAAUAAAGUAAAAGACCUAGAACACUAUGUGAGACAAUAACCCUUCCUGUCAUACACAUGCAAGACAUGAUUGUGACUUUUUUUCUAAAUUUAAUCUAUGUGACUAAAAAGUUGCUAAACUGCAAGAUUUGACUAAGACGCUGCGAAGCCAAUAACCUAAGAUCACUAGGAAGACCGGACCCUAUGUGGGCUACCUAUGUAUCAUGCCCCGAAAAAUGAGAACCAGGUAUGCAUAGUUCGAGAAGAUUGGAUACGGUUCAAAAAAAAUUUUAAAAAAAUAGCUACUUUAGAGAAAACAUAUUUUUCUUUUUCUUUUUUUGAAAAAUGAUGAAACAUGUAAACUCUUUUUGGAGUCCUUUUUUUCCUUUUUUGGAGUUUUGUUUUCCUUCCUUUUUGGUUUUUUUUCAGAAAAUGAUGGGAAAGUGCAAAAAAAAUUGAAUUUUUCAUGUUUUUUUCUUUUUCUUAACAAAAAUGUGAAAGAAAACAUACUUGGGCCCUACUUGCUUUAUUUUCACACUUUAUCCUCUUUUCUCACUAUUUGCCCUCAACCAUUAUUGGUCUGCCAAAUGACCCUUUUUACCCAUGAAAAAUGAAACAUGUAGCACAUAAGAUGCAUCAGGAUAGUCUUUUAUUUUUGGGUACACUUGUCCUAGCCAGACCCAACCCUUGCAUUGACUCCCAUAGUCAAGUGCACGCGACGCAAACAAGCGUUAGUACUAGGGAUUCGACAUGAUGUUAUGUUACUCUAGCUUUAAACCUGGGCUUGUGUUCUAGACCUGGUUUACCCAAGCGGCCUUCUCGAGCCGAGGUGAGGGCAACGUACCAGGAGCACGAAAGUAUACCUGACCUUGUUGCUAACUCAAGCCUCAUUCUAAUUGGUAUGUCUUCUAACAGAAAGUGGGCCACACGUACGUGUGCACCAUAUUUUAGAAGACUCAGAGGGUGGCAUAAAAGUCAUUUUAAUAAAAUUUAAAUAAUAUCGAAAUGGUAAAUAAACAGAAAUUAGCACUUUAGGCUUACAAAAUACAAUAAUAUUAACAAUAAAUAAAGCCAAAUAAAAUCAUAUUAAAAAGCUCGAAUUCUUGAACCCUGAACCAGAGAUUCUGGGUUCUUAUCCCCAACAGAGUCGCCAAAGCUGUCACACUAUCCCGAGAGGGUGUAUAGAAGAGUUUUUUCAGUUAAAGUGACAAUCGAAACUGGAUUAUUUAUUCAAGUUCAUAUUCACCACUUGGGAUAGUUUAUGGUGUUUUAAAUCACCGGUUUAAAAUCCUGAAUCGAGAAAGUUUGACUUUGUUUUACAGUCUACGAACACAGAAAUCCAGGUGAGGAAUUCCGUUAACCCGGGAGAAGGUGUUAAGCAUUCCCAAAUUUUCGUAGUUUUAGCACGGCCGCUUUAAUCAUACUUGGCUUAAUUAAAUUAUCUAAUUAUUAAUUUUAGUACCUAGGUGCAUUUACCUCUUUUAAUUAAUAAAUUAUCCUAAAACAUAUCACGCGCACGUGUACCCAUUUGUUUGGCGCGUCAAGAAUCAUGUCAUGGUUAUGUGUCCACAAUUCCUAAUUAUUUAUUAUUAUUAAGAAAAUUUGGCCGAAGUUCACGAACGUCUACCUCGGUUCAUUUUUAAAAAUCAUCAUAAUUAUGUCACACAAUCAGGAUGAUUUAUUAAGUCGCGCUUAAAGUAUGUCUACGAAUGUUUAUAAAUUAUUUUCCUAAACUACUUUGAGAUUAACCUAAGGCUAUAGAUUAUGGAAAUUAUUAUAGAGUAUCAAGUGGAUUAAUUAUGAAAAUACGUAGGCUUAUAGACUAACAUGGAAAUGGGAUAACUCUACAAAUAGAUAAACAGUAUAUCAUGGGCAUAGGCCCAAAAUUUCUUUCCCUUCGAGAUUAAACCCAUAACCAUUAUUCAAGUUAUUAACUGGCAGAAAUAAUUAACAAAUUAAACAAUUGAUGACCAAAACAACACAAGAUCCUAACAUAAUUACAGUAUUUAACAUUAAAGACAUUACCCUAAAUCUUAUGUUAAGAAACUAGCUAAGACAAAUGAAUCAAAGUUUCAAUGAGUCGAAGGCAAAUUGGUCGAACUCAGAAUGAAGCUAUUACCUAAAAAUUACAUUUUUUUUUCAUUCACUUGCGUUCAAAUAUUAUCAAACCAUUAAACAAAACAUGAUAGAAUAUCAAUCAACAAAAUAGGGCAUCAAGCAACCAAGCAGAGCAUCCAAUACCUAUUUCGAGCACAAAUCAAUACUAAGGAAAGAAACAAUAAGAGAAAAGAUGGACCUGAAAUGUGCUUUCCUUUAACGAGUGUUCCAAUUGUUACACCAACAGAAUAGGGCCACCAUUAUAAUCGGGCCUCAAGACAACAAUAAAACUCAGUUGGUGCCAUAAACCUCACCUCGAUCGGCACUGGUAGAAACUCGAACCAACUCAAACUCAAACGACGCGGCCAGACUCGAAUCAGAUUCGAAUCCUCAAUUAAUCUCCAUAGACGAAACUACUGUCCGAAUUUUUUGUCCAAAUUUUUUUCCCUUUCUCGCUAUCUAUGUGUGUGUGCGUGUUUUCUUUACUUUUCUUUUUAGUUGAGAAAAAGAAGAUGAAAAAGUCAGAAGGGGAAGGUGGCUUUCCGGCGGGUUUGAGGCGGUGAUGGAGCGGUUACUGACUGGAUUUUGGCUGAAGAGAGAUCUCUUCUUUUGUUUUUUUAUUUUAAUCGUGAAAAAAGAAAAGUUCUGGGN